rnacentral:ribozyme from 1 species
UGCCCAGCAACUCCAAUCCCUACAUCCGCGAGGUACCGGUUGUAGACUACGAGCACCGAGCAACCGGUGGUAACUUUGGUCGUAUUCUGACAGGGAAGG